GGAGGGGGGAGAAUUCUUGGCCCCUUGUUAUGUUCGUCUCCGUGUUCGUGUCUAGUGUGCAACAAGUGUUCAUGAUGUUACCUGCAUCCACAAAGUGGGACAUCAAAUAUGAUUUUGACACAGGUAGCCGUCAUUAGCAAGAGUAAUAUUUCCCGGCAAAGAGGCGUUUGGCGGCGCCACACCGAACUCCGUCCCCACCAACUCCACCACCGCCCGCAUCUGGUUAACAUCUCCGGCGGUUUCGAUCGCAGUUUUCAGGUCCGUGGGCGAGCUUCCGGAGAAAACAGCGCCGCCGCUGACGUUCGCCGGCAGUAAGGCGCCGUCGGCGAGCACGGCGUUGGCGGCGGACACGAGGAGCUCGCCGUGCUCGAACCCUACGAAGACCCGCCAAUUCUUCAGCUCCUGCCGCCCGUUGUUGAGAACCGUCAGCGUCGACCUGAACCGGUACGGCUGGUCGGGCAGGUUGACCGGAUUAAGAAACGGCGGGAUUAGCUCGGUCGAGUUAUUGUUGUACGUGAUUAAAACGCCGUCGUUGCAGAGGGACUGAGCAAGGCAGGUGGGGAGAUAGCAAAAAAGAGGGAAAAUCGCCAAGACAGAGAGCAACGCCGUGGAAAUAGGGAAGAAAGUAGUGGCCAUUGUCAUACUCGAGAAAUUUCGGUCAUCAAAGAAGAUCAUGAAGAUAUUAAACAGAGAGAUAGAAUGAAUAUUACUACGUAUAAAACAUAGGGAAAUACGUUUGAAAAAUUCUUGUUGGGAUUUGUAAAAUUGGUUGAUCGAGUAAAAAUUGAAAUGAUAUAUAGUACGAAAUUAUAAUUUAAUGGAGUUGGCGUGCCGGCUAGAUUUGAAUCUUUGAUUGAGUCUUUAGCUAGUGAGGCGAAGUAAGCAUGAGCUGAAAAUAUGAAUAGGUCUUUUGUUUCUUUAUUAUCAUGCAACUUAUAAGAAAUUGCUUUUAAUUUAUCUAGAUUCCUUUCAUAUUUUUAUCUUA